AUCCGAUAAAAUUGGAACGAUACAGAGAAGAUUAGCAUGGCCCCUGCGCAAGGAUGACACGCACAAAUCGAGAAAUGGUCCAAAUUUUUUUUUUUCCCUGAACUCACAGAAAUCAAUGAGUUUUCUUUUCUGUUUCGUUGUUUCCUCUGCUUCUCUUUUUUUGUAGUUUUUUUUCCUAUCACUGUGUUUUAUAUCAUUCGUUGGUCUCAAGGAGGAUGAGUACUCAUACAACCAAGACUUCCUGGAGGUGCAAUCGCAAGGUAUUUUUGGUCCUUGCAAGCUGGGAUCUACUAGAUAGGGAAUAAUUUCGGCACAGCCACCAUCUAUUUGUAAAAUUGUUUUGGUUAACAUCAACAGGAACAAAUUUUUUUUGUCCCUGAAUUCACAGAAAUCAAUGAGUUUUCUUUUCUGUUUCGUUGUUUCCUUUGCUUCUCUUUUUUGUAGUUUUUUUUUCCUAUCACUGUGUUUUAUAUCAUUCGUUGGUCUCAAGGAGGAUGAGUACUCAAACAACCAAGACUUCCUGGAGGUGCAAUCGCAAGUUGUCAAAGAAGUCCCAACAGGACUGAAACUUUACAAGAGCAAGUCGAUGGUUACACUGGGGUCAAUAUCCUAUGCAUUGAAUCUCAAACUUGAUGUGUCCCCUCUAAUUGUCUUAGCCUCCCACGGGCCAUGUUGUUCCUAAGUGCGCCUCUCCCACAUUUCCCUUCCCCAAGUGGCAAUUUUUAGUUGACCUUGCAAACCUGAUCGGACUGCAUUUCAUGGCCGUGCUCUCGAAAGGAACUCUUGGCGCCUGAAAUUUCAUACCAAAUUGUUCUGCCCAAUGAGGGUAUUUGGAUUCAGGUGGUGGUUUGUUUGCAGAUUUUGGUAGGGAUAUAUUGCUUUCGUCUGGACGCCUGGGUAAAGCCUGGUAACAAGUUUGUUUUGACGAGUAACUUGUGAGAGCUUGGCAGGUAAGAUGUGCUUUAUCAGAACAUGAUGUUGCUGUAAAGGGGUGAUAGAACCUUUGCAGGAGCUAUGAAGAGGUAUGUUCACUUGAUUUAUGAACGUAAGAUUACUUAAGACUGUUAUUUGUGAUUAAGAUGGAGUUUACUGGUAAAAUUUUAGCAACCAGUUUAUCAUUCUGUUGUUGGAAUGAUGAAUUCAAGCCCCAUAGCGUGGUCAUGAGAUCAACAGAAUAGAAAAAAAAACUGAGGUGUAUAUUUACUUACUUUUAAAACAUAAUGGUACAAGCUAUAACAACUGGAUGUGCAACUUAAUAAUUUGAAUUGGGAUUGCUCUUGUUUUCUUUCAAUAAACUUGUAGAACUUCGCUGGAAUACUCUUUCCUUUCAUCCAACCUUGUAGCCAUCCUAUGCUAUGCUAUCCUGUAUGCUGUGUUGCUUAAAAGUGUUACUACAUACCCACCACGUCAGUGGUCAAUUUCAAGUUUCCCUCCCGAGUUCCUCAUCCUUGAGGCGGUCAUGGUCAGAAACAGCAACAGCCCCACCCAGAUUCAAAUGUGGCAUCCAGGACAUAGCAUGAAAACCAAGACAAAGCAGGAAAGCAACAUGGGGGUAGAUCCAAGGAUCCUCAACAACAAAUUAAAGGGAAAGAAAAGUAGAAGGCUUGCAAGACUAAAGACCAGAAAUAGCUGCUUCUAUUCAUGGUCCUGGCUACACAAUCAGCUGUGAGAUACUGAUAGUGCUGAUCGGAUGACAUCUUCUUGAAGGGCAUCUUGAUAAGGCUGCUUGCAGGCCUGCAAUAACUUAUUGACUGCACUUUGAAUAGGAAAGCCACCAAGAAGCAGACCAAUAUGGAGAAGCCAAGCUCGCUUCUGUCUCCAAACACGUGAAAUUCCUUUUUGUCCGAGCUACCACUUGUCAUCAAGAGGGGAAUGAGAGAUAUAAGCUUUAGCAGUGGAAGCCAAUAGGGUGGAUGCCAUGACAUUGUUUCGAAGUUGCUGCACAGCAAGAACGCCAUUAUUGGACAAGUUCUCCGUCAUUGCUUGGGCCCAGAAGCAGGCAACCAGAAGCAGGCAAUUGCCGACAUUGAUGCCGACAUUGAUGCCGACAAGAGUCUUGUUGGGGUGCUUCAGAAUUCGAUAGAGGAGCCACAUGUGAUGGUACCAUAAUGCCUACAUUAGAGUAAGGUCUGAAGGAACUAAUACGCGAUCAACAACUUUUCCCUCCAUUCCCUCUAAAAAUGUGUGGGGAUCGGAUACCCUUUGCUGUACAACGGACCCUUUUGUUUGUUCUCGAAGGGCGGAGACGAAAGACAGAGAGAGUCAAAGUGUAAUACCGGUGUUACGUGCGUCUAACUACACAUUUUUCAUGUUUUCUUUGUGAGAACUGUAUAUAAGUCUCACACGUACGUGGGGACGUAAACCAAUCCAUCACAUGAAAUCAAAGAAUCAAGCAACCAAUUGAAUAGAAUUUAGAUCAGGGAAGGCUCACAUGUUUUGAUAUAUACGAGUAGCUUGGGUAUGAAUUAGAUGUUAACAUAAAAUAUUUCAUCAGCAGUCAAAGCUGAGUUACCUGAGUAUCCAACUUGUAUUCUGAUCAGCAGUCGCUAAUUACAUCAUAAAAAACAGUGGCAGCUCACUCAAAAUCAUAA